rnacentral:rRNA from 1 species
AAAGAUUAAGCCAUGCAUGUGUAAGUUUCACCUGCCAGACAGGGAAACUGCGUACGGCUCAUUACACCAGCUAUAAUUUACUUGACCUUGACUUCUUACUUGGAUAACUGUGGUAAUUCUAGAGCUAAUACAUGCACCAAAGCUCCAAUCUCCCCAGAGCGGAGCGCAUUUGUUCGCCACAAAACCAAGCGCCCUCCGGGCGUCCAGUGUUGACUCAGAACAACUAAGCUGAUCGCACGGUCUUGUACCGGCGACGUGUCCUUCAAGUGUCUGCCUUAUCAACUUUCGAUGGUAGUGUAUCUGACUACCAUGGUGAUGACGGGUAACGGAGGAUAAGGGUUCGACUCCGGAGAAGGGGCCUGAGAAAUGGCCACUACGUCUAAGGAUGGCAGCAGGCGCGCAAAUUACCCACUCUCAACGCGAGGAGGUAGUGACGAGAAAUAACGAGACCGAUCUCUUAUGAGGCCGGUCAUCGGAAUGGGUACAAUUUAAACCCUUUAACGAGUAUCUAUGAGAGGGCAAGUCUGGUGCCAGCAGCCGCGGUAAUUCCAGCUCUCAAAAUGCAUAGAAUUAUUGCUGCGGUUAAAAAGCUCGUAGUUGGAUCUGUGCUAGCCGUCCGGUGCACACUUUGUGUGUUACUGGUUCGGUUGGCUUUUCUGCCGGUCUCUCCCCGGCGUUGGCCUUUACCGGUCGGCGUCGGUGGGCUGGCGAGUUUACUUUGAACAAAUCGGAGUGCUUCAAACAGGCGUUUCGCUUGAAUGUUCGUGCAUGGAAUAAUAGAAGAGGAUUUCGGUCCGAUUUUAUUGGUUUUGCUGACCGAGAUAAUGGUUAACAGAGACAAACGGGGCCAUUCGUAUUGCUACGUGAGAGGUGAAAUUCUUGGACCGUAGCAAGACGGACUACAGCGAAAGCAUUUG